UACGAAGGGUGCAAGCGUUAAUCGGAAUUACUGGGCGUAAAGCGCGCGUAGGUGGUUUUGUAAGUUGGAGGUGAAAGCCCCGGGCUCAACCUGGGAAUUGCCUCCGAAACUGCAUGACUAGAGUACGGUAGAGGGUAGUGGAAUUUCCUGUGUAGCGGUGAAAUGCGUAGAUAUAGGAAGGAACACCAGUGGCGAAGGCGACUACCUGGACUGAUACUGACACUGAGGUGCGAAAGCGUGGGGAGCAAACAGG
rnacentral:rRNA from 1 species